rnacentral:rRNA from 1 species
CCUACGGGAGGCAGCAGUAAGGAAUAUUGGACAAUGGUCGCAAGACUGAUCCAGCCAUGCCGCGUGCAGGAUGACUGCCCUAUGGGUUGUAAACUGCUUUUGUACGGGAAUAAACCCUUCUACGUGUAGAAGGCUGAAUGUACCGUAAGAAUAAGGAUCGGCUAACUUCGUGCCAGCAGCCGCGGUAAGACGAAGGAUCCAAGCGUUAUCCGGAUUUAUUGGGUUUAAAGGGUGCGUAGGCGGAUUGAUAAGUCAGUGGUGAAAGCCUGUUGCUUAACAACAGAACUGCCAUUGAUACUGUCAAUCUUGAAUAUGUUUGAUGUGGGCGGAAUAUGACAUGUAGCGGUGAAAUGCUUAGAUAUGUCAUAGAACACCGAUUGCGAAGGCAGCCCACAAAGCCAUUAUUGACGCUGAGGCACGAAAGACGUGGGGAGUCAAACAAGGAUUAGAUACCUCGGUAGUCCACGCUGUAAACUUUAGUAUCACUCUCUGUUGGUGAGUACACUAGUCNGCGGCGACGACGAAAGAACGUUAAGUUAGUAGUCCACCCGUCGGGAGGGUACGGUAGUACGCGAGAGUAGUAACGUAACGUAAAGAAAGUUAAGGUUACGGACGGUUGGAGGACGACGCCGACGGACGACCGACGAACGGGGAAGGGGUUAAGGGGUUAAGG